ACUCAAAUGAAUAGACGGGGGCCCGCACAAGCGGAGGAGCAUGUGGUUUAAUUCGAUGAUACGCGAGGAACCUUACCCGGGCUUGAAAGUUAGCGAAUGAUCUGGAAACAGGUCAGCCCGCAAGGGCGCGAAACUAGGUGCUGCAUGGCUGUCGUCAGCUCGUGCCGUGAGGUGUUGGGUUAAGUCCCGUAACGAGCGCAACCCCUAUCAUUAGUUGCCAUCAGGUAAAGCUGGGGACUCUAAUGAGACUGCCCGCGUAAGCGGUGAGGAAGGUGGGGAUGACGUCAAGUCAGCACGGCCCUUACGUCCGGGGCUACACACGUGCUACAAUGGCCGGUACAAUGGGCAGCUACUAUGCAAAUAGAUGCUAAUCUCACAAAACCGGUCUCAGUUCGGAUUGAGGUCUGCAACUCGACCUCAUGAAGCUGGAUUCGCUAGUAAUCGUACAUCAGCAAUGGUACGGUGAAUACGUUCCCGGGCCUUGUACACACCGCCCGU
rnacentral:rRNA from 1 species